AGAGUUUGAUCCUGGCACAGGAUGAACGCUAGCUACAGGCUUAACACAUGCAAGUCGAGGGGAAACGAUAUUGGAAGCUUGCUUCCGAUAGGCGUCGACCGGCGUACGGGUGAGUAACGCGUAUCCAACCUGCCCACCACUUGGGGAUAACCUUGCGAAAGUAAGACUAAUACCCAAUGACGUCUCUAGAAGACAUCUGAAAGAGAUUAAAGAUUUAUCGGUGAUGGAUGGGGAUGCGUCUGAUUAGCUUGUUGGCGGGGUAACGGCCCACCAAGGCGACGAUAAAAACAGUAGGGGUUCUGAGAGGAAGGCCCCCCACAUUGGAACUGAGACACGGUCCAAACUCCUACGGGAGGCAGCA
rnacentral:rRNA from 1 species